AACCUCCGUAUGCUGGAGGACCUAAAUAACUUUAUAUCUUUCUAGCAUCAGAACUCAACUUUUUUAUGAAAAUUAAAGGUGAGUACGCGGGGCACGUAACUCGUCCUCAUCUAUAUAAUAGCUAGCGAUUGAAAAAAAGUAGAGCACUGUUGCUCUCUUGCUAUGUAUACCGAGUAUUGUAGCGCUCUCUAAUCGGAGAGGUGUGGUAGCGGGGGAAGGGAAGUAAUUCUCAGGAAGCCACUCCCUGUCAUCUUCUGCAACUCUACCCUUUCUUAAUCUCGAUUGAAGCCUCGCUCUUUAUUCUUCUCUCACCUUGCAAGUUUUGUUUUGGGUUUUACGUAUAUAGGAUUUAUUGAAAAAAAUGGAAGAACAACAUAGAUAGAAAGUGAACAACAUUGUUUUGUUUGUGCGUGCGAGACAGAGAAGGGAUAUGGUGCUAGAAGCUUUUUAAGGGUUCUUCUUAAGAACUUGAGAACUUUGACGUUCUUGUUGGGUAUGCUUUCCUUCUUCUUGCUGUAUCUAUUUGUUUUAAGGUUUGUUGAAACUAAGAACAUCUAAAGCUUUAAUUUUCUUGCUUUGACUGUGUGUUGGGAGUAUUAUUUUGCUACUGAGAUAAUGGAAACCCUGUUUGUAUCUAUCUUCUUCUUCUUCUUCUUCUUCUGGUAUGAAAAAGUUAUUAAAAGAUGAAACAAACCCAUUGCCUUAUUAA